CAAUCUGUGUGACUGCGUACCUUUUGUAUAAUGGGUCAGCGACUUAUAUUCUGUAGCAAGGUUAACCGAAUAGGGGAGCCGAAUGGAAACCGAGUCUUAACUGUGCGUUAAGUUGCAGGGUAUAGACCCGAAACCCGGUGAUCUAGCCAUGGGCAGGUUGAAGGUUGGGUAACACUAACUGGAGGACCGAACCGACUAAUGUUGAAAAAUUAGCGGAUGACUUGUGGCUGGGGGUGAAAGGCCAAUCAAACCGGGAGAUAGCUGGUUCUCCCCGAAAGCUAUUUAGGUAGCGCCUCGUGAAUUCAUCUCCGGGGGUAGAGCACUGUUUCGGCAAGGGGGUCAUCCCGACUUACCAACCCGAUGCAAACUGCGAAUACCGGAGAAUGUUAUCACGGGAGACACACGGCGGGUGCUAACGUCCGUCGUGAAGAGGGAAACAACCCAGACCGCCAGCUAAGGUCCCAAAGUCAUGGUUAAGUGGGAAACGAUGUGGGAAGGCCCAGACAGCCAGGAUGUUGGCUUAGAAGCAGCCAUCAUUUAAAGAAAGCGUAAUAGCUCACUGGUCGAGUCGGCCUGCGCGGAAGAUGUAACGGGGCUAAACCAUGCACCGAAGCUGCGGCAGCGACACUGUGUGUUGUUGGGUAGGGGAGCGUUCUGUAAGCCUGUGAAGGUGUGCUGUGAGGCAUGCUGGAGGUAUCAGAAGUGCGAAUGCUGACAUAAGUAACGAUAAAGCGGGUGAAAAGCCCGCUCGCCGGAAGACCAAGGGUUCCUGUCCAACGUUAAUCGGGGCAGGGUGAGUCGACCCCUAAGGCGAGGCCGAAAGGCGUAGUCGAUGGGAAACAGGUUAAUAUUCCUGUACUUGGUGUUACUGCGAAGGGGGGACGGAGAAGGCUAUGUUGGCCGGGCGACGGUUGUCCCGGUUUAAGCGUGUAGGCUGGUUUUCCAGGCAAAUCCGGAAAAUCAAGGCUGAGGCGUGAUGACGAGGCACUACGGUGCUGAAGCAACAAAUGCCCUGCUUCCAGGAAAAGCCUCUAAGCAUCAGGUAACAUCAAAUCGUACCCCAAACCGACACAGGUGGUCAGGUAGAGAAUACCAAGGCGCUUGAGAGAACUCGGGUGAAGGAACUAGGCAAAAUGGUGCCGUAACUUCGGGAGAAGGCACGCUGAUAUGUAGGUGAAGUCCCUCGCGGAUGGAGCUGAAAUCAGUCGAAGAUACCAGCUGGCUGCAACUGUUUAUUAAAAACACAGCACUGUGCAAACACGAAAGUGGACGUAUACGGUGUGACGCCUGCCCGGUGCCGGAAGGUUAAUUGAUGGGGUCAGCGCAAGCGAAGCUCUUGAUCGAAGCCCCGGUAAACGGCGGCCGUAACUAUAACGGUCCUAAGGUAGCGAAAUUCCUUGUCGGGUAAGUUCCGACCUGCACGAAUGGCGUAAUGAUGGCCAGGCUGUCUCCACCCGAGACUCAGUGAAAUUGAACUCGCUGUGAAGAUGCAGUGUACCCGCGGCAAGACGGAAAGACCCCGUGAACCUUUACUAUAGCUUGACACUGAACAUUGAGCCUUGAUGUGUAGGAUAGGUGGGAGGCUUUGAAGUGUGGACGCCAGUCUGCAUGGAGCCGACCUUGAAAUACCACCCUUUAAUGUUUGAUGUUCUAACGUGGACCCGUGAUCCGGGUUGCGGACAGUGUCUGGUGGGUAGUUUGACUGGGGCGGUCUCCUCCUAAAGAGUAACGGAGGAGCACGAAGGUUGGCUAAUCCUGGUCGGACAUCAGGAGGUUAGUGCAAUGGCAUAAGCCAGCUUGACUGCGAGCGUGACGGCGCGAGCAGGUGCGAAAGCAGGUCAUAGUGAUCCGGUGGUUCUGAAUGGAAGGGCCAUCGCUCAACGGAUAAAAGGUACUCCGGGGAUAACAGGCUGAUACCGCCCAAGAGUUCAUAUCGACGGCGGUGUUUGGCACCUCGAUGUCGGCUCAUCACAUCCUGGGGCUGAAGUAGGUCCCAAGGGUAUGGCUGUUCGCCAUUUAAAGUGGUACGCGAGCUGGGUUUAGAACGUCGUGAGACAGUUCGGUCCCUAUCUGCCGUGGGCGCUGGAGAACUGAGGGGGGCUGCUCCUAGUACGAGAGGACCGGAGUGGACGCAUCACUGGUGUUCGGGUUGUCAUGCCAAUGGCACUGCCCGGUAGCUAAAUGCGGAAGAGAUAAGUGCUGAAAGCAUCUAAGCACGAAACUUGCCCCGAGAUGAGUUCUCCCUGACCCUUUAAGGGUCCUGAAGGAACGUUGAAGACGACGACGUUGAUAGGCCGGGUGUGUAAGCGCAGCGAUGCGUUGAGCUAACCGGUACUAAUGAACCGUGAGGCUUAACCUU
rnacentral:rRNA from 1 species